AGAUAAAAAUUCCAGGGACCUGGAGGAGUGUAGGGCCACAAGCUGCAAGUAGCCUAGAUCCCGAGGAACAUCAUGGAAAACAGUACCCUCACCCCUUCCUGUGAGGUGGUGAAACAGAAUUUUCUGAAGACCAGACUCUUGUACAUAAUGGGAAUUUUCUUCUAGAAGUUGGAGGUGUUUUAAGGACUUUAUGUGCCUCAGAGAGGAGAAGCUCGAAUUCAGCAGGAAAACCUUACAUUCUGCUUCCAAAUGGAUCAGAAUUCCUCCACUUCUCUCUGAGGGCACUUCUUCACCUGACCCAGCAAACCCUCCCCUUCUGUCCUCCACUCUUUCUUUCCAGGGCUCCAGGCUGCAGGUUUGCAACUACGAUGACCUUGCAUGAUGUUAGAGCCCAUGACCACCUGGGUCCUUAAAUGCAUGGAGCUAAUCUUCCUACUGGUCCCCUACACGCUGUAUUUAUCCUGAUUUUAGCAGAAUAAUACAUAGACUUCUUCUGUAGUAAUUUGAGCUCCCUGAAAUAAA